CGGGAAGAUCCGGAAAUCAGGAGGAGGAAGCUGGAAAGCAAUCUUCACCAUGGGAAAGGUGUCUGCACUAGCACGGAGAAAAUCACAGCCUGAGGUGUUUAACAGCAGAGAGGCAGAUACAGGCAGCCGUGGGGAGACAGUCACAUUACGAUCUGCGAAGAGCGACGAGUCACUCACCUUGCAGCACAGUGGGGCAGGCGUCCCGAGAGUCCGCAGCCUCGGUCGGCGUGGGCGCAGCAGCGACGCCGUCUCCGUUUCGGCGCCGGGGGAACCACAGG